rnacentral:lncRNA from 10 species
AAGAAUUGUAUACGACAGGAGGGGAAGAGCAAGGCCUGCAGGACUGCUCUAACAGUGAGGUCAUGUGUUUACCAUACCAUUGUUCCAUCGCCAUGGAGAUGAUGAGCGACAAAGCACUGGCAAGAAGCCUCCCAUGCAGGAUGAAGCCAAGGAAGAAGAGAAGAGAGGAAGGACACGCCCAUUAACCAAAGGACCCAAAACAUAUCUCAAGGAGCUCAUGAAGUCAUCCUCAUGCACACAGUUUCCCAGGUGUCAGAUCUGUUUGGGCCACAAACCUAAGAAGAACAUCAUGUGAGGAUGAAGGCAGAGAGCAGGGUGAUGCAGCUGAAGCCAAGGACACUGAAGACUUCCUGCAAACCCCCAGAAGCUGGGGCAGAGGCCCUCCAGUCUCCAGAAGAGGCCAACCAUGCUGAUACCUUGACCUUGGACUCCUAGCCCCAGAACUAUGAG